rnacentral:lncRNA from 1 species
UAGGCCUGGGCAUUCGGGUCGUCGGGUCGGAUUCGGGUCGGGUCCUUUCGGGUCCGGGUCUUUCGGGUCUAAGAGUUUAGGACCCGAUAGGGUAAUUUCAAAUUUUCGGUUCCGGGUCGGUUCGGGUCGUGCCGGGUCCGGGUCGGGUCGGGUCUUAGAUAGUUAGACCCAUUCGGGUAAUUAGAAUUUAUCGGUUCGGAUUCGGUUCGGUUUCGGGUCGGGUUCGGUUCGGGUUCGAUCUAAAAAAGACCUAAAAAUACAUAAAAAUAUCUGAAAAUAUUUAUAUAUCCGAAAAUAUUCAAAAAUUUAUUCAAAAUUUGUGUGUUUUAUUAUAUUAAAAUGUGUAUAUAUACUAAACUAUGUGAAAUACAACAACAAUUCGUUGUCUCCUAGUGGUUGACCCCCAUAUUCUCUAGACAAAUAACCCGUCUUCGAUUCCCCUUUGAUGCAUUUUAUUUAAUUUAUAUUAUUAAUUCGGGUACCCAUCGGGUUUCGGGUUCGGGUCGGGUCGGGUCCAAGACCCGCGGGUCCUCUACAACAAGACCCGAUAGGGUAAUUUGAUCGGAUCGGUUUCUACCCGAACCGGGUUUUUUCGGUUCGGUUUCGGGUCGGGUCUUCGGGUCCGGGUAAAAUGCCCAGGCCUAACAAUGGUGUCACCAUUCUAGGAUGGAGAUAGAACAUGUCUUCGCCACCACUGAGAGGAGAUAAAUAAUAUGAGAAGAGAACUUCAUUGAUCUCCCAACCAAGGUCCUUAAAUAUACCAAGGUUCUGAAUAGCUAUAAGAGUCCUCUUUGAUCAAAAAAAAAAAAAAAAGCUAUAAGAGUCCUCUAAAUUAGAUGAUCAAGCUGACAAGAUGAUAUCUCAAAAUACUCAGAUAUCUUAACUAUCAAUGCAUGACCUUAUCUCUAAAACCCAACUCAAAGAAGCGUCAUAAGCAAUGACUUCAUCUACUCCAAAAUCAGAACCUCGACUAUCGAGAUUAGGGGCCCGAAGGACAACUUCUUCGGCAAGAGAAUACCUCUCUCUCUCCAUAUCAUCAUCCCGACACCGAAGGAGGUCCUAUCUUGUUUGGUUUCAUGGACACAGCCAUUGGUUCCAGAUUUUUGACCUUCCCCAUUAGAUCAAUAGAAGACCCCGAUGAAAUGAUGGAUCCCGAAACAUUAGGACUAAUUUUCUCUUCGAUCUAACCUAACUACGUAUAGAAGGAGAAAGAUAUGUACUACGGUUAGGGGUACCUUCCAUUUUUACCGGAAACAAAAGCAAAAGAUCUAAAGAGGAAUCAAAAAUGGAAUGUUACUAAACCCUAGAAUUCUAUGACCAGAGACCAAAGAGAUUACCUUGAUACACUAAAUGAAAGGGGAAUCUAAUAUGAAUUUGAUCCAAGAAUCCGAAGAAAGCGAGAUCGCAAGAAGAAAAUUGCAACAUAUGAGAAAGAAGAAGAAGAUUAUGUGGAGAGAGGAAGGAAACCCAAGAUUAUUGCUUCUCACAAGAUAGGAAGACAAGAUUCCCCUGAUAACUCUGACAAACUUAUGUGGCCACCACCAAUCAGAUAAAAUUCUCUGUCCACUGUAGCAUUCCACGAGUUAUAUACUUGCUCAGCCACAACCACUUGCUCAUAGGCAGAAAGACAACGUUGCUCAUGAAAGCAUAUCAACAAAUCUAUCAUCUUGUUCGUCUACAUGCCAUCUAGAUAAGAUGAUUUCACGGCCACUGAGGCCAUGCG